rnacentral:rRNA from 1 species
GUGACCUCAAAUCAGGUAGGACUACCCGCUGAACUUAAGCAUAUCAAUAAGCGGAGGAAAAGAAACUAACAAGGAUUCCCCUAGUAACUGCGAGUGAAGCGGGAAAAGCUCAAAUUUAAAAUCUGGCAGCUUUGGCUGUCCGAGUUGAAUCUAGAGAUUGUUAUCCGCCCUGGACCGUGUACAAGUCUCCUGGAAAUGUAGCGCAUAAGAGGGUGAGAUUCUAGUCUUUGACACGAACU